GAUUUACCAACUGAAAUGAUUGACUCCCCUGGGAUCCUCAAGACACACUCACAGAAAGUGACUGUCUGAAGUGAAGACACAUGCACAUAUGCUAGCAAGUAGAGUCUAGCCUAAAUCUUUGAUGCAGGAUUUAAAAGGCUUGCUGACGGAGAUGACACCUGCUGACCUUGCGUGUUUGAGAGCCACCUAUUUUGAGGGCGCUGGUGCUCUGCUCACCACCUACAAUUACCACGACUAAAAAUACUGGGGAGUGAGAGGAGUCUUCGAGGGGACUUGGCGCCUGGACGGUCCUCCUCCUAUUUCUGUGCCCCAUGUUUCAAGACUGUUGCAGAGCAGCCCAUCGCCAGGAAGACUGAGCCCUUCACAGUUGAUGGGAGCCUUGUGGUUAUGUCUCCUUCCCCCGGAAAGUGGCGCCUGGAUCCACAGAAAGGAGGAUCCUGAGCAGAGGAGUCCUACGGAGGAUGGAGAAUACACUUCAGACAGGAGAGAGAGCGGGAGAGGUUCUUCUCAGACACAGAGAGGAAGGAGACCUAAGGGAGCCCGUGCAGUAGUGAAAGGCAUGUCACUCCCUGAAGAAAAGAAUGAAGCCGUGUGGAGACCAAAGGAGUGUUCCAGAAAGCAAGAAAACCUGUCUCUUCCACUAACCAGAGCUUUAACAUGGAUCCUGGUGGGGGCACUGUGGGUUUCAGGGCUUUGGGGGAACCUGGCCCGGCAGGGAGG